UCAGGUAUCGUUGGCUAUUGCAGUUUUGCAGUCGUCUAGGAUGCGCGCACAUCACUGCAUACCAAGGCCGCGUGCGCGCGCCCCUGACGCUAGCCACACGCGCUCAACUAGAGCGGCUUAAGCCUUCCUUUAGUCGAGUCGUGUUGUUUGUGGUUGCCGGUUAUCGCCACUCGUGUGUUACGCGCCGCCAUUAUAGUUCGGCAACUAUUCUAUACGUUUUCUCGUAAUAAACGGAUAUUGUGCUGUGCUACUGAAGAAUUUCGCUAGAAGUAUUCUCAAAACCUUAGCUGGCAGCUAUGAGUUCGACUUCAUAAUCGACGUGCCAGAUGAUUGAACGCAUUUUCUCAUUGCCAGUACAUGUAUUUGAUGUGCGCAAUUUGAGCACUUCCUGUGCCCCAGUGACUAAUGCGCACAAAAACUCUUUCAGCAUUUGUUUUGCCUGGCAGUCCGAUAAGCUGUACACUGGGGCGGCAUAAGCAGCUGAACCACAAUACGUUUCCGAUAGUAAAGAAUUGCCGUGUUCAUCAAUACAAAACCGAGCAAAACCAAAAUCUGC